GCCAAUAAUCUAGCCCCUCAACAUCUAAUGAACCCCUAUACCCCAUCACAAAAACUAAAACAUUUUACUAAUCUAGUAAAGGCGAUUAAAAGAUUUAUAGGAGCAAUACAAGCAGUACCGCAAGGGAAAGAUGAAAUAAAAAUGAAACAAAUAUUAAGCACAAAAUAGUAGAGACUCACUCUCGUACCUUUUGCAUCAUGGUUUAACAAGUCCAAUCAAGCAUAAAGACUUACAGUUUGACCUCCCGAAACUAAGUGAGCUACUUCAGGGCAGCUUAUUGAGCGAACCCGUCUCUGUUGCAAAAGAGUGGGAUGACCUUCAAGUAGGGGUGACAGACCUAACGAACUUAGUGAUAGCUGGUUACUCAAGAAAAGGAUUUAAGUCCAGCCUAAAGUCUUCUUAGUUUAUCAAAACGUGACCUUAACUUUAGAGUAAUUCAAAUAAGGUACAGCCUAUUUGAAAAAGGAUACAACCUAGACUAAUGGGUAAUACUUCAACUUUAUAACUAAGUG
rnacentral:rRNA from 1 species